GUCCUAUCCUGGCAUUGCCAGGACCAUACCUACUGAGCUGCAUAGGACUGCAUAAAAUAGAUAUGUAGUGGAUGGCUUUGUUAGCUUCACUACUUCUUUACUGAGACCCGAAACCCUGUCGCACCAGACCAAGAAUUGGCUCUGAUUUUCUGGGUCAGUGGUAUUCUCUGUGUUCUGUAGAGUAUGUUGUGUUGUUGUGGGUUCGGAUCCCAGGUCUGUUGUGGCAGGAUGACCUGUGAUAUACACCACAUUAGUUUAUGUUACUGUAGUACCUUAACCACCAUGUAAAGCACUGAACAGUUGUCUGGCUAGCUUUAUAUGUCACAAACAUGAACAUCUCAUCAACAAUUCCAUGAUCAGCUUGAUUCACCUGCUAAAUGUUCCUAGCAGCCAACAGUAUUUUUCUUUUUCAUGGUUGCCAAAUUCUGAACUCUCAAGCCAUCUCAGCUGCCAUUCAAUACACAUGCAGUAUUUUCAGCGAAAGGCCAUCCCAACAAUACACUCCCAGCUGGCUGUGAGAGCUAAGCGCUAUAAGUAUGGGGAAACAGAUUACAGCUCUGUUUAUAGUUAAAGUGUUUGUGUUAUUCCCCAUCCUACCAGUCCCCUAUAUCUACCAAGCCACUGACACUAUCAGGUCGCUGCAAUGCAUGUGUUUAUUCCCAGCUCCCUCUCUUUUAUCAAUCUCUCCUCUAAAAUGUUUAAGAGAGAAAAUCAAAACUUCUCCCUUUGAAUUUAAUUAAUUGCUUUUAUCGUUUGAAUUAGGAAUUCAGUAGCAUUCACUAGGCACCAAGGAGGGGUACAGUCCGGAGAGGCAGAGGGAGUGAGGGAUACAGUACGGAGAGGCAGAGGGAGUGAGGGGUACAGUACAGAGAGGCAGAGGGAGUGAGGGAUACAGUACGGAGAGGCAGAGGGAGUGAGGGGUACAGUACGGAGAGGCAGAGGGAGUGAGGGGUACAGUACGGAGUGGCAGAGGGAGUGAGGGAUACAGUACGGAGAGGCAGAGGGAGUGAGGGGUACAGUACGGAGUGGCAGAGGGAGUGAGGGAUACAGUACAGAGAGGCAGAGGGAGUGAGGGAUACAGUACGGAGAGGCAGAGGGAGUGAGGGGUACAGUACGGAGAGGCAGAGGGAGUGAGGGGUACAGUACGGAGAGGCAGAGGGAGUGAGGGGUACAGUACGGAGAG
rnacentral:lncRNA from 1 species